UCAGUAACUCGAUUGUACAAUCCACUCACAGAGUGGACGUUAGAAAAAACUUCCUAAGACAAUAACAAUCUUGAAACAGGAAUGGAGAAACCAGAUUUCUAGUUCAACACUGGAUAGUAACCAGCUGGUAGAAACUGGAUGGCUCAGCUGUGCAGAACAAUUAAUGGAGAACAAAACCAGUUUUUGCUUCAAUGGGGCUACUAUUUACAUAGCUCAUGACCUUUGGGACUAUGGAAAAGUCACAACACCACCUCAAGCCUCAGUUUAUUCAGCUGUACAGUGGAAGUUCUGAUCCCUGAUUGGUAACAUUAUUAUGAGUUUGAAUAAAAAUUGAGUACCUUA